UACGAAGGGGGCUAGCGUUGUUCGGAUUUACUGGGCGUAAAGCGCACGUAGGCGGAUCGUUAAGUCGGGGGUGAAAUCCUGGAGCUCAACUCCAGAACUGCCUUCGAUACUGGCGAUCUUGAGUCCGGAAGAGGUGAGUGGAACUCCUAGUGUAGAGGUGGAAUUCGUAGAUAUUAGGAAGAACACCAGUGGCGAAGGCGGCUCACUGGUCCGGUACUGACGCUGAUGUGCGAAAGCGUGGGGAGCAAACAGG
rnacentral:rRNA from 1 species